UACGUAGGUGGCAAGCGUUGUCCGGAUUUAUUGGGUUUAAAGGGUGCGUAGGCGGCUUUGUAAGUCAGUGGUGAAAUAUGGCAGCUCAACUGUCAGGGUGCCAUUGAUACUGCGGAGCUUGAGUACAGAUGAGGUAGGCGGAAUUGACGGUGUAGCGGUGAAAUGCUUAGAUAUCGUCAAGAACACCGAUAGCGAAGGCGGCUUACUAGGCUGUAACUGACGCUGAGGCACGAAAGUGUGGGGAUCAAACAGG
rnacentral:rRNA from 1 species